AUUGUGCCUAACCUAUUUUGAUUAGGUUGGCUCAAUUAGGUUGAAACCACUUUGACCUCAUCUCCCUGCGCCACCUCACUUAUCUACGCCCAUUUGAAUUCAUGAGAAAUAACUUCUCAUGAAUUUUCUCCCACGCAGAAGCCUUCCCACGCCCUCCCUUGUGCGCCAUUUAUCUGGAUAAAGAUUGGUUUGUUGGCCAUUCAAAUUCAAAGGAUGUUUGAAUUUGAAUGGG
rnacentral:lncRNA from 1 species